rnacentral:lncRNA from 1 species
AGACACAGAGACACAGAGAGAGACACAGACAGACACAGACAGACACAGAGACACAGAGAGAGACACAGAGAGACACAGAGACGCACAGAGACGCACAGAGACGCACAGAGAGACACAGAGAGACACAGAGACACACAGACACACACAGAGACACACAGAGACGCACAGAGACGCACAGAGACACACACAGACACACAGAGAGACACACAGAGAGACACACAGAGAGACACACAGAGAGACACACAGAGACACAGAGAGACAGAGACACAGAGAGACACAGAGA